GGAAAGGCUUUGUAAAACACACUAUUUGACAGUUUGGAAAGCGUGCUCACGGAAAACGAGGGAGCAGCCAAGGCAUUGUUCUUACCGGUUUAUGAAUUGGCUACUUCCUCGUUUUCCGUAAACACGCUUCCCGAGCUUCUAAACGGUGUGUUUCUUGCAAAAACUUUA
rnacentral:miRNA from 2 species